GACGAACGCUGGCGGCGUGCCUAAUACAUGCAAGUAGAACGCUGAAGGAGGAGCUUGCUUCUCUGGAUGAGUUGCGAACGGGUGAGUAACGCGUAGGUAACCUGCCUGGUAGCGGGGGAUAACUGUUGGAAACGAUAGCUAAUACCGCAUAAUAGUAGAUGUUGCAUGACAUUUUCUUAAAAGGUGCAAUUGCAUCACUACCAGAUGGACCUGCGUUGUAUUAGCUAGUUGGUGGGGUAACGGCUCACCAAGGCGACGAUACAUAGCCGACCUGAGAGGGUGAGCGGCCACACUGGGACUGAGACACGGCCCAGACUCCUACGGGAGGCAGCAGUAGGGAAUCUGCGGCAAUGGACGGAAGUCUGACCGAGAAACGCCGCGUGCGUGAAGAAGGUUUUCGGAUCGUAAAGCUCUGUUGUAAGAGAAGAACGAGUGUGAGAGUGGAAAGUUCACACUGUGACGGUAUCUUACCAGAAAGAGACGGCUAACUACGUG
rnacentral:rRNA from 1 species